GUUUUAUUGGCAUAGUCCUUCCACAUUCACUGAAUAAAUAAAGAUGAACCACAUUAACCUAAUGUGUACGGAAAUCUGCACUGUAAUAGAAUUAUCUUGACAGAAGACAUUUAAAAGAUGAAGCUCUAGUCACACUAGCCGGAUGUGCUCUUGUAUGUGGCGUAAUCAGAUUUAGCCACUUAACUUUUGACUUGAGUACAAGUUACACAUUUGCUGGCUUAAAUAGGAUAUGAAAAACACACCAAGAGCUCCCGGUCACAUGAUGAACUUCUGUUGUUAAUGUGCCGGACAUGACUCACAUUGCUUAAGACUGGGAUUUUCAUGUUGCCUUAAUACUGUGCCAAAGUCUGUAAAAAUUUUUUUAGCUUUGUGUGACUAUAAAUGUCAAACAGCAAUAUCACUUGAGCAAACUGGUUGACUCUUAGCGCUGUCGUUGUUAAUUAAUCAGUAAGCAUAACAAAAGGUUAGUGUCGUUGUACACCUGGUCUGUUAAAGUUGAGGCUGAAGGAAUCUAGUUUAUUACACUGGCUGUCCAGUACCUCUGUAGUAAAUAUUUAAUUCUGUGGCAUGUUGCCAUGGCAGCCAAGGUUUCCAUGUCAGAGGUGCUUUCCACUGGGAAAGUCUUGUAAAUGCAAAUUGACAGCUCCUGAAAAAAAAAAAAAGAAGAAGAAGAAGAAGAAAAAAAAAAGCUUUUUGAAGACAUUUGAAGAACUGCCCUGUCUGGCUGUUGAAUUAUAGAGAGGUCUACGAAUGCAAAUUAUCUAUGAAGGUUGGAGGACAGAUGGUCGACACCAGUGUGCUGGCAGCAUUAGCAGGGCACUUGUUCUGUAAAGCAGAAAAAAUAAAUCCAAUCAGUGCUACUGCAGCAACUAGUGGCAUCUCAUCAGAGCCUCGGGUCAAUGCACAAGAUACACAAAACAGCUGUGGCCCACAUUAAAAUAAAGAAGAAACUCGUACAGGUUUGGAACAACAUGAGGGUGAGUGAAUGAUGACAGAAUUUUCAUUUUUGAGUGAACUAUACCUUUACGGACGAUGGAACCAGAAGUGCUAAAGCUAACUCAUUUCUGUGUUUUGGCCUACAAAAAUACGUCAUCCAUGCACCACAUUUUUGAAAUUCUCUGCGCACAAGAUUCUCUUAAAAUUGUUGCUUCAUCAUCCUUGAGAGAGAAAAACGACCGAAAACUGUAAAACAAGAAAAAAAUUAAU